ACACGUCAUCUUUUUUCUCUAUAGAACCAGGUUUCUUGCGUUUUCUUGCGUAUGGGUUUAGAUAUCUACGGCUCAAUUUCGACAUCUCCGCCUCCGUCUCAAUUUCGACAGCUCCGUCCUUGAUCCCUCAAUUUCGACAGCUCUGUGUUUGCUUGGCUCCAUUUCGACAACUCCGCCUCGAGGGUAGCGUAAACCCCAUUGCUCUCUCUCUCUGUACCAGUCGGCGCCGAAGAGAACGGAGGUAGGGGAGACGUGGAGGAGGACGACGGCGUCUCCGGGGCCGGCCCAGCGGACGGCAUAGGCGCUUUCUUCAGAGAGGUCGAUUGCGACUCCGGUUUUGCGGCGGGCUCCGGCGAUGGGAGUUGGGGUGGUCUGCGGUUACAGCCCGCGUUCCUCUCUCAAUCAAGCUCGAGCCGAAGUCUCGGCCAUGAAAUCAAGCUCCUCCGGCGCGUCUUUGCUAUCAGCUCGUGGUCGUCAUGCUCAGCUCCGUCGUUGCGUCGGCGCCCAAACCAUGGCCGUGCUCACCUAGCCACCGUGGUUCCUCCUCUGACUCGUCCGUCUUCUCGCAAUCCUCACUUGCCGUCAGAUAAUGCCGCCGUGACCUCAGCUCGAGUCGUGGCAGCCAGUUCUGAAGCUCCGGAGUCGUUGCUUCUAACCGUCGCGGCCAUUUUCAGAUUGAAAAGCUUGGGAAUUCCACAAUGGUGGAUUUUCAAUUAUUUUCACAGUUGAUUCUUAAACCUUUUGGUUCUUCUUGCAUUGGCCCUAAGCCUUUUGAAAUUGCAAAGAUAUCCAUUCAAAUCAACCCCCGACUUUCAGUUGUACAUUAUAGAACCCUCAUAUUUGCAUAAUGGUCUCUCGUCUCUUGAUGGUUCUCAAAUCGGCCACGAACUCUGAAAUUUGCAAGAAUAAACUUGCAAUUUCGCCCCCAAACUUUUCAAAGUGCACUUUAACCCCUGUUAAAUGCAAAUGAACACUCUAAUGCAAUAUAUACAUCUAAAUUCAUCCUAAAAUGAUUAAAUUCUAUUAAUAACAAAUGCUAAAACUCAUAAAAAUAAUAAGAGAUCAGUGGAGAAGCUAAGCUAAAAAUCACAAAACAAUAUAUUUAAAGUUAAGGUAAAAAUGUUCGAUUGAAUUAUUCAAAUGAAGUAAAUAUGAAAUGUUAGUUGUAUCAAAUAAUAAAAUCCUAUAGACAUUUUUCCGCGGCGUAGCGCGGAUGUAGACCUAGUCUAUCUUCUAUAACAAUAAAGUAGACUUACCUCCCUUUUCCUGCUGCCACAUCACCCUUGAAAGAGGGGAGUUUUGCGCCACGUGUCGGCCAAUCCCUGAAACUUAAAAAAAUGUACUAUCGAUUUGGACUUUUAAAGCUCUCUAGGUCUAGAUUCGUAUCAGCCCAAACUAAGCCUUUUAUUAAAUCUCCCUUUUCUUAGUGUUGCCGUCUCUUCUUUUUCACCUUACCAGAAACAAAACGUUUCCAUUAGGGUUUAUGGUAUAAAGCUUAAUACAAACAACGACGCUCUUUUCACCAUCUUAUUCCAUCUGCGCCACCGCCCUGCAGUCUCUGAUCUAACCGCAAAUGUCAAGCCUACCAUCGCUCUCUCUCAGGCUUCGAACCCUUUCAGUAUUAAAGCCAGAGACUCUCACUUCCAUUCUAGACCCUCUCAGUCAGAGCCUCGAUAGGUUCUCUCUGUCCGGAUUCGUGGUUCAAGAUUACACUGAUUCGUAUGAGAGUAACGAAUGGUAGCAGCAACAGGCGUGAUGGGUUAUCAGUAUCUGAGCUUCUGAUGUCCCCGGAGAUUUUCAAAGCUGUGAAUAAUGGAGGAAUUCAGAAACUCUUUCCUAUUCAUGUACACUCUUCUUUCUGAAAAUGGGGUCAAUCAAAGUUAUUUGUUUUUUUUUAACUCAGUAUUGAUGUCGGUUGUUUGUAUGGAAAGCUGUGCUUGAGCCAGGAUGCAAGGUGUGCUACGAAAUGAACUAGAAAGAUUCUUGCUUUUGGAAUUCCCAUCAUUGACAGAAUUAUAAAAUUCAACUCUAAACACAGGUUUAUUAAUCCUAUGAUUGUACUUGUGUAUUUGAGGACUCAAAGAUUUUAGUAGGGAAUCAUAACGCCUUCUAGAGAUGGUGGUUUACGAAAGCUUUGUUGAGUCUUCUACCAAUAAUAAUGCAAUUAUUUUUCAUCUAUCUCAGUCUUUCUCUGUGUAUGCGAAACUAUAAUGAAGUCUACAAGGUUCACUCUCCUCUGUGCCAAACUAUAUCCAGAUGUUCUAGAACUAUUCAGUUCCAUGAAACUUUGAAGAAGUCUACAAGGCACAGUUGAUCUGCUGUAGAGAAGCCUUUGACUACUUCUUUGUAGCUCCACUCCUUUCCAGUAACAAGUAGUGUUUCGUCUGUGCAAACGGGCUCACGUUGAUUGUAUGAUUGGAUAUAUGUAAACAUGAGCUGAAGUUAAGGCAGGGAAGCCACUUAAAGUUAGACCUGAUGAAGACUGCCUCAUCCACCUUUCACAGGCAUGUAUUGGUAAUAGGAAGAAGGGUGAAACUGCUCUCAUGUAUGUGGCUUUAAUGGGAAGAAGCUUGUGAUUAGAACUCUUUCUCAGGAGGAGAAGAUUCCUCAAGUCAGCUUCGAUCUGGUCUUUGAGAAGGAGUUUGAACUCUCCCACUCCUUGGUGAGAGAAAGUGUCUACUUCAUUGGCUACAAAACGCCCGACCUCGAUGAAUAGGUGGAUUCCUCUUCUUCUGAGGAUUACUCUUCUUCUGACUCAGAAGAAGAGGAGGAAGUGGAGGUCCCUUCAACUGCACUGCCAAUGUAAGUGCUGGAGCUGCUGCUUCGAGUGUUGUCAAGGCUGACUCAAAGCCUGAAGAAGUGAAUCGUGAAUCAGACGAGGAUGAUGAAGGCUCUGAUAAGAAAGUAGUGAGUAUUUGCAUUUCGUAACGAUCAACGUUGAAUGCCGCCUCUGUAAUGUAUAAGGCUAUCAUUCAAUCAGCCUAAAUAAGAAUCUGAAAAUGAUUCUAGGAUUUAAUAUCUCUUUGAGAGACGGUUAAGCUUUUUAAGAUUUUAGUAUAAGAAAGAACAAAUAAGCAAAGUUUUUUUUGUUAUUGUGAUUUCAGCCAUGGCUCGGUCAAAGUGUACCGGUUUAUGUUUGUUGUAAUUUGAACAUUUGUUCAGCAUAGGAAGUUUACCAUA